rnacentral:rRNA from 1 species
ACGGGAGGCAGCAGUGGGGAAUAUUGCACAAUGGGGGAAACCCUGAUGUAGCGACGCCGCGUGAGCGAUGAAGUAUUUCGGUAUGUAAAGCUCUAUCAGCAGGGAAGAUAAUGACGGUACCUGACUAAGAAGCUCCGGCUAAAUACGUGCCAGCAGCCGCGGUAAUACGUAUGGAGCAAGCGUUAUCCGGAUUUACUGGGUGUAAAGGGAGCGCAGGCGGUAUUGUAAGUCUGAUGUGAAAAUCCGGGGCUCAACCCCGGAACUGCAUUGGAAACUGCAGUACUAGAGUGUCGGAGGGGUAAGCGGAAUUCCUGGUGUAGCGGUGAAAUGCGUAGAUAUCAGGAGGAACACCGGUGGCGAAGGCGGCUUACUGGACGAUAACUGACGCUGAGGCUCGAAAGCGUGGGGAGCAAACAGGAUUAGAUACCCUGGUA